rnacentral:rRNA from 1 species
GACGAACGCUGGCGGCGUGCUUAACACAUGCGAGUCGAGCGGAAAGGCCCUUUCGGGGGUACUCGAGCGGCGAACGGGUGAGUAACACGUGAGUAAUCUGCCCUUCACCUGGGGAUAACUACCGGAAACGGUGGCUAAUACCCGAUACGACAACUCCACGCAUGUGGUGGUUGUGGAAAGUUUUUUCGGGGGGGGAUGUGCGCGCGGCCUAUCAGCUUGGUGGUGGGGUAAUGGCCUACCAAGGCUUCGACGGGUAGCCGGUCUGAGAGGGUGACCGGCCACACUGGGACUGAGACACGGCCCAGACUCCUACGGGAGGCAGCAGUGGGGAAUAUUGGACAAUGGGCGAAAGCCUGAUCCAGCAACGCCGCGUGAGGGAUGACGGCCUUCGGGUUGUAAACCUCUUUCAGCGGGGACGAAGCGCCGGUAAUGGUGGUGACGGUACCCGCAGAAGAAGCACCGGCCAACUACGUGCCAGCAGCCGCAGUAAUAC